UGUAAGCGUAUACCAAAGUUGUUGCAGUUAAAACGCUCGUAGUCGGAAUUUGGCAGUUCCGGAUGUGUGCACGUCGUGUGCGCACUUCGCUGGGAUUGCUUUUGUGGUCUUGCGUAGGAUGAGGCACUUUUAUUAGUGAACGUCCUCACGCAACCACUUUUUACUGUGAGAAAAUCAGAGUGCUCAAAGCAGGCAUUUGCCGUGAAUGUAUUAGCAUGGAAUAAUAGAAUAGGACUUGGUUCUAUUUUGUUGGUUUGUUGGGACUGAGUAAUGAUUAAGAGGGACAGUUGGGGGCAUUUGUAUUUCGGUGCUAGAGGUGAAAUUCUUAGAUUACCGAAAGACAAACUGCUGCGAAAGCGUCUGCCAAGGAUGUUUUCAUUGA
rnacentral:rRNA from 1 species